rnacentral:rRNA from 1 species
AUGAACACACUUUUAAACCACUACCUCGACUUCUGCAGAGAUUCUCUCAAGAUGCAAGCCGAAGCACUGGUGACCGAGAAGAACAGUACUGCAAAUGGCAUCGUCAAGCUCAUCGAACAGAAUCACAUCUCAAACCUUGUCAUGGGAACAUCCUCCUUCUCGCCUGACGUCCAGACCAAAUACACCUUCGUAACGAGGAAGAACAAAGCACCAAACUCAAAAGUUGCAGCCAUUGUGCAUCAACAAGCCAAACCAUAUUGCCAGAUCUUCUACAUAUGCAAUGAGACUCUUGCUUGCUCUAGAGAGGCCACUCAGCGUUUGAUAAAAGUAGAGUCACCGCAAAGCGGCUACACAAGCACUGAUUCAGACAGAUCCGAGUUCCCUGCAAGAUCCCAAUCACUAUCACCAAGGCAGAGAAGUUUCUUCGGUUCCACAGAUCAAAAAGCCCUUCAACAAGAGUCCAAGCAGCCAGUUAGCUAUACAUAUCCCUUGUUAGCAUCGAUAACAGACAGCACGGAGACCAUACUAGGUGCAAGGGGCCGGUCAAUUCAUACAACGACAUCAAAAGGUUUCUCCCUGAAUUCCUGCCAGCAAAGCUUUCGGGGAUCUUCACUAGUUGUAAAGGAUUUGGAUAAUAUGAAUGGUUCACUUGUACCUGUUUCCGUUGCAAGCUCUAAAGAACAUCAACACUCUAUGAUAGAAACCGCCGUGCAACGAGAAGUGUUCGGGCAACUACAGCUACUCCUUGAUGAUCAGGAGUGCUCAAAAAGAGAAGCAAUUGAGGAUCAGCAGAAAACCGCGAGGGGUCUGUUUGAAAAUCCUAUGAUGUUCAAAGCACAGGAGAAUUCACUCCGCGGAGAGAAAAAUGAGCUAGAGGAAAGACUAACCAGAGAAAAGGUUGGACUCGAAAAGGAACGCCUCCAUUUAUACAAUGAGCUGCAGAAAGCAAGUGAGCAACGAGCAGAACUUGAGAACAAGCUUCUCCAGACAAACUCCCUAAUGGAAGAGUUGCAGCGCGAGAAAGAACAUGCUGUUAAGCAGGCUGAAGAGAUGCGCCAAACAAACGGUAGCGGUGCAUUUGUAUUUGGCUCUACCAGUACUAGUGCCAUUGUCUUAACAGAUUUCAGCUACGCGGAAAUAAAAGAAGCGACAAACAACUUUGAUGCCUCCAAAAAGAUAGGGGAAGGUGGGUGUGGAAGCGUCUACAAGGGGUUUCUCCGUCAUACUACUGUAGCCAUAAAGAAACUGAACAGUGAAGGCGCAAGAGGAGAUCAAGAGUUCAAUGAUGAGGUAGAAACACUCUGUGGGAUGAGGCAUCCGAACCUUGUCACUCUGAUAGGAGCGUGCAGGGAGGCCAGAGUGUUGGUCUUCGAGUUCUUGUCAAACGGAAGCCUAGAGGACUGUCUGCAGUGCGAGAACCGAAGAGAGACACUCUCAUGGCGAAUGUGCGUCAGAAUUGCUGCAGACAUUUGCACGGGACUUAUCUUCCUCCACUCCAACAAACCAAAAGGCAUUGCCCACGGUGAUCUCAAGCCUGACAAUGUCCUUCUCGACGCCAACUUUGUUUGCAAACUGGCAGACUUUGGGAUCUCUCGCCCCUUGAAUGUCACAAACACCACUAUCACCCCUUACCACCGAACAAAUCAACUCAAGGGCACAAUGGGAUACAUGGAUCCAGUAUAUAUUGCCUCAGGGGAGCUCACGGCACAAUAUGACGUCUACUCCUUUGGAGUAGUGUUGAUGCGAUUGCUAACUAGCAAGAGCCCCCUAGGCCUUCCACAUGUUGUGGAGGGAGCAUUAAGAAAAGAUAAGUUGCAAGACAUAAUUGACACUUCUGCUGGGGAAUGGCCACCUAAGUACACUAAAGAGUUGGCAAAACUAGCACUGAGAUGUUGUCGUUAUGAACGAAAGGAGCGGCCUGAUCUCGGAAAGGAGGUUUGGGAUGUCUUGGAAGCUAUGAUGAACUGUCCAGAUGAUAAACGCAAGCCACCAAAGUUUCUCAUAUGUCCAAUAACACAGGAGAUCAUGAAGGAUCCACACAUUGCUGCCGAUGGAUACACGUACGAAGGUGCGGCCAUCAAGUGUUGGUUUAAAAUGGGGAACAAAAUGUCCCCCGUGACCCGCGUCAGCUUCGCGCACCAUGAGUUGAUACCAAACAACGCCCUCCGCUUUGCAAUUCAAGAAUGGAAAAAGCGACAGCAACCUUGA